GACGGAGGGUGCUAGCGUUGUUCGGAAUGACUGGGCGUAAAGGGCGCGUAGGCGGCUCGUGAAGUCGGCUGUGAAAACUCGGGGCUCAACCCCGAGCCUGCAGUCGAUACGGGCAGACUAGAGUGCGGUAGGGGAGACUGGAAUUCCUGGUGUAGCGGUGAAAUGCGCAGAUAUCAGGAGGAACACCGGUGGCGAAGGCGGGUCUCUGGGCCGUAACUGACGCUGAGGAGCGAAAGCUAGGGGAGCGAACAGG
rnacentral:rRNA from 1 species